AAAAUUCAGACUCAAAAUUUAACUACUGAUACAUCAUCUCAAUUUAGAUGACACUAAAAUUCAAAGCGUCUCAGUUGGCUCUCAUUAAUUUAUCAUGUGAACUCUUGACUAUUGAUUUUCUCCAGAAAAAUUCAAUUGUAAGUUCCUCUCGCCCUCUCGCUUAUCUAUUUCUUUUUUACUCUCUUUGGUUUAUUCUCUGUUAAAUCUCUUCACUGGUAAAGUAUAACUCUUAGCAAAUUUCUUUUACUUUAUUUUUCAUUUUAACCAAAAAAUUUAAGUUGGGUUUCUAAGAAUCUAAUCGCUCUUACAUUUUGCGAUUGAAAGGUCUCCAAAUGAACAUAAAAAAUUUGGAGCUCAAGGGGAAAAACAUGAGAGGGCUGCAAUGAAGCUCCUUGAUAGUGCUG
rnacentral:lncRNA from 1 species